rnacentral:rRNA from 1 species
AACGAACGCUGGUGGCAUGCCUAACACAUGCAAGUCGAACGAACCCUUCGGGGUUAGUGGCGCACGGGUGCGUAACGCGUGGGAAUCUGCCCUUUGCUUCGGAAUAACUCAGGGAAACUUGUGCUAAUACCGGAUGAUGUCUUCGGACCAAAGAUUUAUCGGCAAGGGAUGAGCCCGCGUAGGAUUAGGUAGUUGGUGGGGUAAAGGCCUACCAAGCCGACGAUCCUUAGCUGGUCUGAGAGGAUGAUCAGCCACACUGGGACUGAGACACGGCCCAGACUCCUACGGGAGGCAGCAGUGGGGAAUAUUGGACAAUGGGCGCAAGCCUGAUCCAGCAAUGCCGCGUGAGUGAUGAAGGCCCUCGGGUCGUAAAGCUCUUUUACCAGGGAUGAUAAUGACAGUACCUGGAGAAUAAGCUCCGGCUAACUCCGUG